UACGGAGGGUGCAAGCGUUGUCCGGAUUUAUUGGGUUUAAAGGGUGCGUAGGUGGCCCUGUAAGUCAGUGGUGAAAUCUUUGGGCUUAACCCAGAAACUGCCAUUGAUACUGCAGGACUUGAGUACAGAUGCUGUGGGCGGAAUAUGACAUGUAGUGGUGAAAUACAUAGAGAUGUCAUAGAACACCGAUUGCGAAGGCAGCUCACAAAACUGUAACUGACGCUGAGGCUCGAAAGUGUGGGGAUCAAACAGG
rnacentral:rRNA from 1 species